UACGUAGGCGGUUUACUAAGUCAGAUGUGAAAGCCCCGGGCUUAACCUGGGAACUGCAUUUGAUACUGGUAGGCUAGAGUAUGGUAGAGGGGGGUAGAAUUCAUAGUGUAGCGGUGAAAUGCGUAGAUAUUAUGAGGAAUACCAGUGGCGAAGGCGGCCCCUUGGACCAAUACUGACGCUGAGGUACGAAAGCGUGGGUAGCGAACA
rnacentral:rRNA from 1 species